rnacentral:rRNA from 1 species
UACGUAGGGGGCAAGCGUUGUCCGGAUUUAUUGGGCGUAAAGAGCGUGUAGGCGGCCAUGCAGGUCCGUUGUGAAAACUCGAGGCUCAACCUCGAGACGCCGACGGAAACCAUCUGGCUAGAGUCCGGAAGAGGAGAGUGGAAUUCCUGGUGUAGCGGUGAAAUGCGCAGAUAUCAGGAAGAACACCCGUGGCUAAGGCGGCUCUCUAGUACGGUACUGACGCUGAGACGCGAAAGCGUGGGGAGCGAACAGG